rnacentral:rRNA from 1 species
AGAGCGAACGCUGGCGGCAGGCUUAACACAUGCAAGUCGAGCGGGCGUAGCAAUACGUCAGCGGCAGACGGGUGAGUAACGCGUGGGAACAUACCUUUUGGUUCGGAACAACACAGGGAAACUUGUGCUAAUACCGGAUAAGCCCUUACGGGGAAAGAUUUAUCGCCGAAAGAUUGGCCCGCGUCUGAUUAGCUAGUUGGUGAGGUAAUGGCUCACCAAGGCGACGAUCAGUAGCUGGUCUGAGAGGAUGAUCAGCCACAUUGGGACUGAGACACGGCCCAAACUCCUACGGGAGGCAGCAGUGGGAAUAUGGACAAUGGGGGAAACCCUGAUCCAGCCAUGCCGCGUGAGUGAUGAAGGCCCUAGGGUUGUAAAGCUCUUUUGUGCGGGAAGAUAAUGACGGUACCGCAAGAAUAAGCCCGGCUAACUUCGCGCCAGCAGCCGC